GUAUUAUACAUCUAGUGAAGAAUUGCAGAACUAUCAUUGGUUUGAACCUAAAUGGCUGCAAGGUAGCUGAAAGUUAUCAAGACUUAAAAAGAGUCACUGAAUAAUAUCACUAGGUGUGUUAAGAUCACAGAUGAUGGAUUACUUAAAGUGCUACAGAUGUGUUAUACCAUCCAGAAGCAUAAUUCUAUUUUAUCUGGCUAAAAAUAUUGAAGAUCCAGCAGUUGUAAGUUCUUGACCUGAUCAUGAAUAUUUUGCAGAUUCACAGACAAGGCCUACAAGAAGAUAUCUCUUUUGCUUGAUCCAAGUUGCUUAGAUCUAUGUUUAAUACACGUUGGAGAGGUAACAGUUGUUGGUGCGAAGGGAAAUUUAGGGCGUUUCAUCAAUAACUGC